rnacentral:lncRNA from 1 species
AGGCAGAUCGUAUGAGUGUUUGUUGUUUCCUUUUUAGAGUAGCAGGACUCGGUUUCCUUCCUCAAUGAAUUCUAUUGAAUUUCUAGAUCUUUAGUUACUAUACAAAGCAACUAUAAUUAGGUUAGUAUAGUACUGAAGUGCCUAAUUUGGGUCUUUUGUCUUUUGGGUCUUUCGUCAUUAUUUUCAUUAUAUAUAUAUAUAUAUAUAUAUAUAUAUAUAUAUAUAUAUAUAUAUAUAUAUAUAUAUAUAACUGUCAGCAGUGUGCACUAUAUAAAAAUCAUAAGAAAUGUAAAUAAUUUUAGUCGUGGUCAAAGUAAAAGUAAUGAUUUUGAUAUAUAUAUAUAUAUAUAGAUACACACACACACACACACACACACACACACACACACACACACACACAUAUAUAUAUAUAUAUAUAUAUAUAUAUAUAUAUAUAUAUAUAUAUAUAUGUAUAGCAUAAGAUGACUAAGGGUGCUAGUCGCCGCUAAUAUUGCUAGAAACAAGUGUCAGAAUAUCUCUUAGCCACUGGGAAGCGAUUAUCUAGUGAGUGGCAAGGGAGACAAGCUCCUUGCAGCCAGCCAGAAAGAGCAAUAUCAUCGAUGAUUUCGGAUUUGAUUAAUCCUCGUCAUUGACUCGCUCUCGUUUGCCGAGUGUAAAAGCUAGUUCACCUUGCCAGUUUAUAGAGACUACUGUAGGAAUCAGAGGCUGGUUCCAUAAAUGGUAAAAGGGAAAAUUAUAAAUUAUCAAGGUGUUUUACUCGCAAAUUACAACGAAAAGACACAAGUAUAGACGUCACUAAUGUAACUUAGAGUGCUAGUCAGCAUCGCCAUUGCUAGGGCGAACACUUAUCUAUUGGCUGACAAGUGAGACAAGCUCCCGUCUCCCUCGUCAGUCACUAGAUAAGUGCUUCCUCGUGACUAAGAUUUGUUCUGACACUUAUUUCUAGCAAUGCAGGCGCUGACUAGCACCCUUAAUCACCUUAGUGUCGUCUAUACAUGUGCUUAUAUAUACAUAUGCCUGUGUGUGUAUGUGAGUGUACGUGGUGUGUGUGUAUGUGUGUGUAUGUGUGUGUGUUAUACAUUAGGCUUACGCAUUAGCUGACAGCCUAAUUAGCAGACUUCUGACUUUGAGAGUUCGUAAUUAAUUAAACAAAAUGUUUGACAAUCUCAACACAUCACAGUAAUUCUAUUGAUAUUUUGACUGGUCUAUUGGAAGAGGUUUUAGUGGGAUUAAAAGUCUCACUUCAAUUUAGUGAUAUUUUAAAAUCCCACCUAUACUUAUGCAUUCCAAUCUACAUACAUGUGCAUAGAUUUUUCUAUAUACAGCCUGUGUAUGCUCGUAAAUCUAUUUACCAAACAUCGCCGUAAUAACGAGUAGUGUUAUAUGUCGAGAGAAUUAUGUGAUGUCUCUAUUUUAUGUAAUACGUUCCAUUCGUACAGACAGCAAAUGCAUAAAUUUGUAAAGUGUUAAUUAUUUGACAUUUCGUAAUCAUUUAUAUCGAUGCCAAUUCCGUCUCGUGGUGGGACUUGUGUCGUUAAAUAUUUCCCAGCCACAAGAGGUGUCUGAAGAAUAUACAAAAUAACUACUAAGCGAGGAUUAGAAAGUGAAUCCAAUCCAUUCCCAGGUCGCUAUGGCAAUGUAAUUAUGUCGAUUGAGUCAACUCAAUUCUUUUUCAAACUGUGUUGCUUUAUUACGAUUUUAGCAAUCUUAUUAUGAGGCCAUCAAAUUACUUUACAGCAUUUAAUAACAGUACCGUAGAGAAAGACUAACAUAAGUUGUUACUGGCCAUAAAAUACGCAAAAAAAUGUCUUCCUAAUUAUUUUGAUAUGGUCCACUCGAUCAACUUACUUUCUUUUUCCCCAACGCGCAACGCAAGCAACACAUCAUCGAUACAAACUCAUGAAACAACCAAUCUCUUAAAAAUCUCUUUUGCAAAUGCCACACACUGAUUUUGUUAACUAUGUAACAUCAAACGAUUCUUGAAGCAAUCAUUCUAAUGUAACCAUAGCAAACUAUCAAUCUUGUUAUCUUUUCAAUAUAAUUAGAACGAACAGAAACCAUUUCUAAUGUAAGCAUAAUCAAGUAGUUCUUCUUCAGAAAGUAAACACGCUAUUCAUAAAUGUAAACAAAUCCAAGAGCCCGCCACUUUGGUACUACUAUACCAGUUCCUACAUAGCAAAUUGAAGCGAGAUACAACUAAAAGCAUUAAUCGUUUACUCUUACUUUAUUGUAUUUCACUACAUUCACAGCAUAGUCUUUUGUGAUACACACUAAGGAUGGGAAAAGUCAAAUAAGUUGUCUCCCACUAAUAUUUCUGUACAGGAGCCAAAUUACAUAGAAAGAUAAUCUACUUAUUUAGACUGCAGUAACAGAAGCGGUGGAUAACGAGAACUUUAGAUUAUCAGGUGAAGUGCUUGGCGGUGUCUGAUACGGCCCCUUUACACCAUUGAAGCAACGCCAUCGGUGACACUAAUCUAACUAUUUCUGCUCCAAAUCAGAGGUUCUUUUAUCUUGGAAAAUAGUGAAGAAUUGUAUGUAUAGGUAGUCUCUGGUCUUAAAAAAUUGUAAAUGAUUAACAAAAUUACCAAGAUCUCCGCAUACAGAGUCAGUAGUUAUUCAGUUUGGAAUAAAGUUACGCAAUUCGCAGACUCACUGAUAUAUAUUUUGCUGAAUAACAGCUUAAAAUGCAUCAAUUGGUAAAUGAACAAUUAAGUUACGUACACGUUCCAGCACCUUUAUUAUUACUGAUGCCUUUGUGGUAUCGUUAAUGCAUCUAACAAAAUAUUUCAUACUAUACAGCUAGAAUUUUGAGUGUAUGUCCUGCUCAGGUCGAAAAUUAAAGUAAUACUCAGGUACUGGAGAUGAUGCUAUCGGCUAACACUCUUCCUCUCAAAGCCGGUGUACUUUUGUCUAAAUUAGAAAGACGACCAGCGGACAUAAUCUAUAGAGCAUCAGACAAAAUGCUUGGCGGCAUUUCUUUAUCAUAUGGCACUAACUGUCAGUAACCUUACGCAGUUUUUAUGUUCUCUACUAUUGUAUUCGGUAUCUUUGCUUCAAUAAUAAAAAAAAAUUAUGAAGAAAUCCUAUAAAAUCCUUUGAUUAUUAUUCCCCAUUACAGCCUCUGGCUCGUGUUCAUACCAUUUUUUUUUCUCUUACUCUGCUUCCAGUGAUUCGACUUACUGAACCAAAAUGAAUUUCAAAUUACU